GCCGGCAUUAAGGAAAUGAGACUCACCUAUCCGUGAUUCCUGUUCGUCAGUGCAGGGCUCAGAAGAAGGGCUGUCACAACAGUUCAUGUUGGGCUGCCUGGCAUCCCUUGACAACAGUGGCACUUCUGCAGCUACUGAUCUGGAAGCAACUCCACCACUUCAAAGCACCUUGAGCUCCACUGGCAGGAGAAAUACGACAGCACACGACAGGUCCAUGGCCCGCUCUGGUCCUCCUAUCGGGAUGUACUUCACAGGCUCUCUUCUGGCCUGCAUUCAAUCGGUGAGAGUUUAGAACAGAUCUCAUCAGUGAGCCAGGUCGGCCUGCCCGCCUCCUACACUUAUGCCAUCUAUCUUUAGAGUUGCAAGCUC